GCGGAGGAAAAGAAACCAACAGGGAUUGCCCUAGUAACGGCGAGUGAAGCGGCAACAGCUCAAAUUUGAAAUCUGGCUCUCUUUGGGGGUCCGAGUUGUAAUUUGCAGAGGAUGCUUUGGCAUUGGCGGCGGUCUAAGUUCCUUGGAACAGGACAUCGCAGAGGGUGAGAAUCCCGUACGUGGGCGCCUGCCUUUGCCGUGUAAAGCUCCUUCGACGAGUCGAGUUGUUUGGGAAUGCAGCUCUAAAUGGGAGGUAAAUUUCUUCUAAAGCUAAAUACCGGCCAGAGACCGAUAGCGCACAAGUAGAGUGAUCGAAAGAUGAAAAGUACUUUGGAAAGAGAGUCAAAAAGCACGUGAAAUUGUUGAAAGGGAAGCGCUUGCAGCCAGACUUGCCCGCAGUUGCUCACCUAGGCUUUGGCCUGGGGCACUCUUCUGCGGGCAGGCCAGCAUCAGUUUGGGCGGUCGGACAAAGGCCUCUGUCAAGUAUCUCCCUUCGGGGUGACCUUAUAGGGGAGGCGUAAUGCGACCAGCCCGGACUGAGGUCCGCGCAUCUGCUAGGAUGCUGGCGUAAUGGCUGUAAGCGGCCCGUCUUGAAACACGGACCAAGGAGUCUAACAUCUAUGCGAGUGUUUGGGUGUCAAGCCCGGGCGCGCAAUGAAAGUGAACGGAGGUGGGAACCCUUUGGGUGCACCAUCGACCGAUCCUGAUGUCUUCGGAUGGAUUUGAGUAAGAGCAUAGCUGUUGGGACCCGAAAGAUGGUGAACUAUGCUUGAAUAGGGUGAAGCCAGAGGAAACUCUGGUGGAGGCUCGCAGCGGUUCUGACGUGCAAAUCGAUCGUCAAAUUUGGGCAUAG
rnacentral:sRNA from 1 species